AAGAAGUCUGUAUAAAUAAUCAAUCUAUUAAUUCAAGACUAAAUUAAUAAUAAUCUCAUUUCUUACUGAUACAGCGUGGAUAAAAAUGUAUGACAUUUGAAAACUGCUUAUAAAUGUCCAUUAAAAUAAUGUGUUAUUAAAUACAGGAUAUCAUAAUGCUGUGGAAUCAAUUGUCGUCUAGAUCGGAAAACCGAGCUACUGGAUGAUUUCCUCAAACGUUCUCUGUGCAUCCAGGAUCAACGACGGACAGGUAGACAGUUUUUCCAGUGAUCCGGUUCAUCAACGUCUCUCCCCGAUGUCGCAAGGUUUAUCUACAUUUCAUCUUGCACGAUCUAUUGGCCAACCGAUGCUCGAACGAUGCUCCUGAUAUUUAGUGUGCACGAGUUUCGCAACGCGGAGGCCGGGCAAACGUGCCGGUUCUCCAUUAUCGAAUUAAUUGUCAGAGAACUGAUCCUUUUCGGAGAACAAACUCUUCCAUCCGAGUUUCAUGUAAUAAACGAAACCUGUUUAACCGAUUAAUUUUUGCGUAAGGGAAAUGAUUAAAAUUUUUGGGUUCUAAUUGAACAAGCAAGUGGUAGAUUCUAAUUGAGACGAAUGAAUAAUUUUAUUCUUAUCACAUUCAUUUAUUUAUGUUAUUGUCUCGAUUGUACGAAAUUAACGAUAGGUAAAGUGCAUAACUAACGUAACCUCGAGUUAAGCAAAUGUACUUUGUACAAAAUCGUAUGUUUAU